AUGGCAAGAUUAACAAGCAAAGAGAAGACUGCUCGUCAUAGACAGAAAGUCAACUCCGACCCUGCAGCAAGAGCAGAGUAUCUUGCAAGGAAAAGAGAGAGCUACCAAAAAAGAAAGCAUGAGGGAAAGAUUUCAUAUGUGAAGUCAGAUGAGUUAUCAGAGAGGGAGAGGAAUAAUCUGAGAAACAAGUGGAAGGCUGCAUCCAGAGGAUACAGGGAGAGAAGAAAGAUGGAGAAGGCAAUGUUGGACCUGACACCUCAAUCCAUAGAGAACACUCUGCCAGAUCCAGCAGGUGUAGAAGGAGUGGAGGGGCAGCAAGAGAGUCCAGGGGGGUGUGUGGUGGUGGAUGCUCCACCUCAAAAUGAGGAUUUCCAUCCACAGAUGUCCUCCACACCAGAGAGAAAAGAUAGAGAAAAGAAAGCUGAGAAACGUUGUAAACGACUGCAGGCUGAGAAGCAUAAAUUAAGAAAGCUAAACAUAAAUCUGAGGAAACAACUUGCAAAGAUGAGAAAAGAAAAGGAAAGGGCCAGAAAAGGUGAGACGAGGGCAAAAGAACGUUUAAAGCACAGUGAGAGGCUCAAGCCAAAAGGGGGGAAGAAACUGGCAAAAGAGAGAAAGCUGGCUGUUGUUAGUUUUCUGACUAGAGAUGAGAAUAGUCGACUUUUACCAGGGAAAAAAGAUACCAUCACAAAAAACAAAAUAAAAGAACAGCGAAGAAUUCUCACAAAGCCACUCACAGAGCUCCAUGGGCUGUACAAUAGUGAAAUGAAGAAGAGCCUCCACCUAUCUUACAGGCAGUUUGCUAGAAGACGCCCCUUCUAUGUCACUGAGCCAAAAGCCAAGGAUCGGGACACAUGUGCAUGCAUGGACCACGAAAAUGUCCACCUGCUGGCCAACAAGCUCUACAGCAGAGGGCUGUUGAAAACAAAAAGCAUUUCUGAGCUGCUGGUUAUGAUAGUGUGUGAUCCAAAAAAUAAGGACUGUAUGGACCGUGUUUGUGCCAAGUGCUGCUUUGAGGAGGUAGAAUUCCCUGAGACAGAGAGCAGCUCAGAAGUCACCUGGGAGCAGUGGAAGAGGGUAACUUCCACAAAUGGAGAGAGAAUGUUUGGCAACAUGGUGAAACAGAUCUAUAGUGGAACCAUCAAGGACUUGAUGGAGCUUUUUUCUCAGAAGUUAGAGUCCUUGGCGAUACAUCAGUUUAACUGGCUGCACCAGGCAGAGCAGUUCCGCUACCUUAAACAAAACAUCACAGGGUGUGAAGCUGUUCUGCAUGUUGACUUCUCAGAGAAUUAUGCAUGUAAGCUGAACACAGAGGUUCAGGCAUUUCACUUUGGAGGUAGCAGACAGCAAGCGACUAUCCACACAGCAGUCCUGUACACUGUGCAUGGAACAAAGUCCUAUGCAACACUCUCUGACAGCCUGCGCCAUGAUGAGCGGGCGGUGUGGGCACAUCUAGAGCCCAUCUUAGGAGAGCUUCGUGAAGCCUUCCCACAGAUCACAACCCUCCACAUUCAGAGUGAUGGGCCGGUUACACAGUACCGGAAUAAAAACAACUUCUACCUCCUCAGUACUGUCCCUUUCCUUUCUGGGUUCACUAAGGUGACCUGGAAUUAUUCAGAAAAGUCUCAUGGGAAAGGGGCCCCAGAUGGGAUUGGUGGGGCAAUAAAAAGAGAAGCAGAUCGCUUUGUCCAAAGAGGUGGUGAACUUCAGACACCACAGCAACUCUAUGAGAUGCUGAGCACAAGAUUAGGCUCAAGCAUCACACACUAUUGGGUAAACAGAGAAAGCAUUGAAAAGUGUGAUGAGCUAAUUCCUGACAACUUGGAGGCUGUGAAGGGCACCUUUAAAAUACACCAGGUUUGGUCUACCCAGCCUUCACAGAUCACUCACAGGACUGUGUCAUGCUUCUGUAGGAAAACAGAGAGGAGUCCAUGCCCUUGUUACAAGCCCGUAACAGUAGACCUGAGAGUGAGACGCACUGUGUGCAAAACUGAGAAUCCCCCAAGCUCUCCUCCUCAACCACCUAGGGAACAAGAAAAUCUAGAUCUUUGUGGCAAGUUUGUUAUUGUCAUUUAUGAUGAGAAGCCUUAUGUUGGCCAAGUGCUUGAGGUUGUGGGAGAAGAAGUGCAGGUCAAUUGUAUGCUACAAUCUGGUGACAAAAACCUCUUCAUGUGGCCACAAACUGUAGAUUUAAUUUUCUACUACAGAAAAGAUGUGCAUGCUGUGAUCUCAGAACCUGAGCCAGCAACAUCACGCUUCUCAAAGCUGACUCUCCAAGAUUGGGUGAAGUUCAGAAAUACCUCAGCUUAGAUAAAAGCAAGUCGUGUUCAUCACUGCCUUACGUGGCUAAAUGGGUCCAGAAAAAGAAACUUAUUAUUUGUGAUAUUUGAAUGUUGAAAGGUUAAUUGAGAUGCAAGUAGUGUUCAUCCCUGUCCAAUGAAUCAAAAAGGUUACAAAAAAGAGAUUCUUUACUCAGCUUCUUAAGUUCUUGAAGCAUUUAAUGUGUGUUGCAAUAAAAAUUAUAUAAUUUUAAAUGUUAAUGUCCUU
ensembl:lncRNA